AGAGUUUGAUUCUGGCUCAGAACGAACGCUGGCGGCGUGCUUAACACAUGCAAGUCGAACGCGAAAGGGGCUUCGGUCCUGAGUAGAGUGGCGCACGGGUGAGUAACGCGUAGAUAACCUGUCCUGGUGUCUGGAAUAACGUCUCGAAAGGGGCACUAAUACCGGAUAUUCUUGCUUUCUAUAAGGUAUGCAAGGAAAGGUGGCCUCUGGAACAAGCUACUGCACGAGGAGGGGUCUGCGUACCAUUAGCUAGUAGGUGGGGUAAUGGCCUACCUAGGCGACGAUGGUUAGCGGGUCUGAGAGGAUGAUCCGCCACACUGGCACUGGAAUACGGGCCAGACUCCUACGGGAGGCAGCAGUGAGGAAUAUUGCGCAAUGGGGGCAACCCUGACGCAGCGACGCCGCGUGAGUGAGGAAGGCCUUCGGGUCGUAAAGCUCUGUCAAGAGGGAAGAAAUGCAUGAUGGUUAAUAUCUGUCAUGUUUGACGGUACCUCUAAAGGAAGCACCGGCUAACUCCGUGCCAGCAGCCGCGGUAAUACGGAGGGUGCAAGCGUUGUUCGGAAUCACUGGGCGUAAAGGGCGCGCAGGCGGCCUGAUUAGUCAGAUGUGAAAGCCCACGGCUUAACUGUGGAAGUGCAUUUGAAACUGUCAGGCUUGAGUACCAGAGGGGAAAGUGGAAUUCCCGGUGUAGAGGUGAAAUUCGUAGAUAUCGGGAGGAAUACCGGUGGCGAAGGCGACUUUCUGGCUGGAUACUGACGCUGAGGCGCGAAAGCGUGGGGAGCAAACAGGAUUAGAUAC
rnacentral:rRNA from 1 species